ACUAAAAAUAGCCGUAGAGAAAGCAGUACCUAUAAUAUAAAGGAACAAGGUGGCGGAGGCUUGUUGAAAUUCCACGUUCUCUGUAGAAUUCCUAUAAGAAAGACACAGUUAGGGUUUAUGUGAGCUACGUGUUUAAGAGUUGAAGUGCAGCAAUCCUCCAGUCUAGCAGAGGCAAACUGUACUAUUAUCCGAGACAAGGGCAAACUAUUUGCCAUUAGUAGCAGGCGGAAAGAAAUAUGGUGCUGGCUCGGUCCUAAGAAAGACGACGAUAGAGACGAGGAAGCUGAUUACUGUCACUUUCAUGGCAUUGAAAAGGGAGCAGUCAUGCAGGAAGUUUGAGUGUUCAAAUAUCCUCAACUGGAAUGCGAGAUGCUGUCCACAAAUUUGCACCUGGAGGAUUUCCUAGAUAAGAAAAUUUGGUUGAACCUACAGAACGUUUCUUUGCUGUCACUAAGCUUUUCCAGUCCAAGGAUACUGGUUUGAGAAGAAUAGUUUAUUUGAUCACCAAGGAGCUUUCUCCUUCUUUUGAUGAGGGCCAAUGCAAUACGAGUUUAAUGCAGAAUCACAGAUGGCACAUUGUUGUGUCAAAUUGAGGGAUAUCUAAAACAAGGCGUUAUUGAUAAAAAGCCUGUUGUAGCCAGUGCUGCUCUUGUCAAUAGAAUUCACUUGCUUCAGACCACUCCAGAUAUUGUCAAAUGCUGGAGUGGUGAGGUCCAAAAAGUAGUUCAGUCCCAAGCUGCUCUUCUACAAUUUCAUGCAUUAGCCUUGCUUCAGCAGG